ACCCAGCUUCCAGGGAAAGCCUCUAAGCUUCAGUCUAAGAGUGACCGUACCGCAAACCGACACAGGUGGGCUGGUAGAGAAUACCAAGGCGCUUGAGAGAACUCAGGAGAAGGAACUCGGCAAAUUGAUACCGUAACUUCGGGAGAAGGUAUGCCCCUGGUACGUGAAGGCCCUCGCGGCCGGAGCGGAACGGGGUCGCAGAGAAUCGGUGGCUGCGACUGUUUAUUAAAAACACAGCACUCUGCAAACACGAAAGUGGACGUAUAGGGUGUGACGCCUGCCCGGUGCCGGAAGGUUAAGUGAUGGGGUGCAAGCUCUUGAUCGAAGCCCCGGUAAACGGCGGCCGUAACUAUAACGGUCCUAAGGUAGCGAAAUUCCUUGUCGGGUAAGUUCCGACCUGCACGAAUGGCGUAACGAUGGCCACACUGUCUCCUCCUGAGACUCAGCGAAGUUGAAAUGUUUGUGAAGAUGCAAUCUCCCCGCGGCUAGACGGAAAGACCCCAUGAACCUUUACUGUAGCUUUGCAUUGGACUUUGACGGGACUUGUGUAGGAUAGGUGGGAGGCUAUGAAACCGGGACGCCAGUUCCGGCGGAGCCACCCUUGAAAUACCACCCUGGUGUCGUCGAGGUUCUAACCCAGGCCUGUGAAUCCAGGUCGGGGACCGUGCAUGGUGGGCAGUUUGACUGGGGCGGUCUCCUCCCAAAGGGUAACGGAGGAGUACGAAGGUCACCUAGGUACGGUCGGACAUCGUACUGAUAGUGCAAUGGCAAAAGGUGGCUUGACUGCGAGACCCACAAGUCGAGCAGGUGCGAAAGCAAGUCAUAGUGAUCCGGUGGUUCUGUAUGGAAGGGCCAUCGCUCAACGGAUAAAAGGUACUCUGGGGAUAACAGGCUGAUUCCGCCCAAGAGUUCACAUCGACGGCGGAGUUUGGCACCUCGAUGUCGGCUCAUCACAUCCUGGGGCUGUAGCCGGUCCCAAGGGUAUGGCUGUUCGCCAUUUAAAGUGGUACGUGAGCUGGGUUUAAAACGUCGUGAGACAGUUUGGUCCCUAUCUGCCGUGGGCGCUGGAAGUUUGAGAGGGCCUGCUCCUAGUACGAGAGGACCGGAGUGGACGCACCCCUGGUGUACCGGUUGUGACGCCAGUCGCAUCGCCGGGUAGCUAUGUGCGGAAGAGAUAACCGCUGAAAGCAUCUAAGCGGGAAACUCGCCUCAAGAUGAGACUUCCCCGGGGCCUCGAGCCCCCUGAAGGGUCGUUGAAGACCACAACGUUGAUAGGCCGGGUGUGUAAGCGUGGCAACACGUUCAGCUAACCGGUACUAAUUGCCCGUGUGGCUUGAUCC
rnacentral:rRNA from 1 species